GCUCAGAACGAACGCUGGCGGCAGGCUUAACACAUGCAAGUCGAACGAGAAAGUACUUCGGUACGAGUAGAGUGGCGCACGGGUGAGUAACACGUAGGUGACCUGUCCUGGAGCGGGGGAUAACCAGAAGAAAUUCUGGCUAAUACCGCGUACGCAAAACGAAGGUGAAACUAGUUUUGGAAAGGGUGCUUCGGCACUCGCUUUAGGAGGGGCCUGCGGGACAUUAGUUUGAUGGUGGGGUAAUGGCCUACCAUGGCUACGAUGUCUAGCUGGUUUGAGAGAAUGAUCAGCCACACUGGAACUGAGACACGGUCCAGACUCCUACGGGAGGCAGCAGUGGGGAAUAUUGCGCAAUGGAGGAAACUCUGACGCAGCCAUGCCGCGUGAGUGAGGAAGGCUUUCGGGUCGUAAAGCUCUGUCAUUAGGGAAAAACGGCACAGCAUCUAAUAGGUGUUGUGUUUGAUGGUACCUAAAGAGGAAGCACCGGCUAACUUCGUGCCAGCAGCCGCGGUAAUACGAAGGGUGCAAGCGUUGUUCGGAUUUACUGGGCGUAAAGCGCGCGUAGGCGGAUUUUUAAGCCAGAUGUGAAAUCUCGGGGCUCAACCUCGAAAUUGCGUCUGGAACUGGAGAUCUAGAGUCUUGGAGGGGGAAGUGGAAUUUCACGUGUAGGGGUAAAAUCCGUAGAGAUGUGAAGGAACACCAGAGGCGAAGGCGACUUCCUGGCCAAGAACUGACGCUAAGGCGCGAAAGCGUGGGUAGCAAACAGGAUUAGAUACCCUGGUAGUCCACGCCGUAAACGAUGAGCACUAGAUAUGGGGAGUUGACCCUUUCCGUGUCGUAGCUAACGCAUUAAGUGCUCCGCCUGGGGAGUACGGUCGCAAGACUAAAACUCAAAGGAAUUGACGGGGGCCCGCACAAGCGGUGGAUUAUGUGGUUUAAUUCGAAGCAACGCGCAGAACCUUACCUGGGCUUGAAGUCCCGAGAAUCUGCCUGAAAGGGCGGAGUGCUCUUCGGAGAAUUCGGUGAUAGGCGCUGCAUGGCUGUCGUCAGCUCGUGUCGUGAGAUGUUGGGUUAAGUCUCGCAACGAGCGCAACCCCUAUUGCUAGUUGCCAGCAUUAAGUUGGGCACUCUAGUAAGACUGCCUGGGUUAACCAGGAGGAAGGUGGGGAUGACGUCAAGUCCUCAUGGCCCUUAUGUCCAGGGCUACACACGUAAUACAAUGGUGCAUACAAUGGGACGCGAACUCGCA
rnacentral:rRNA from 1 species